UCUUCCUCCCCAACCGCCCCGGCGCUCGCAAAAUAAUCUCUCUUUACCGAAAGGGUUGGGGUGUCGCAGAGAGAAACAUGGAGUAUCUCCAGGGCUUAAAUGGUGCUUGAAAAUGAAGGGUACCUUAAAUGCCCACCCGGGAUAGAAGAAGUCCUCUGCGUCACGAGUCAUGUCUAGGUUUCUUCGGCCACCCACAAUCUCCAGAAGAAGCAUUCCGUAGCUGUAAACAUCAGCCUUCACUGUUAUGGGGCGGUUACUGACCCAUUCGGGGGCCAAAUACCCUCUGGUUCCUCUAACCAUUGUGACCACAUUGCCAAUAGCUAUAUGGAAGCGAGUCGACCAAUCUAGUAGCCUGUCUUGGCUGGUAGGAGAUGGGAAUAUCCAUUUGUCCAAGGAUCCAUUUAUCAUGAACUCAUAUACUAGAAGCCUGCAAAAUGUCAUUUUGCAAUGUAAAUUUCAGAACAAGGGAGUUCCGCGAACCAAAUCGCCAGCAGAUACUGAUCAGGGAAGUCCACUGGAGUGAACCCAAAUGCAAAGGUCCCAUUGUCAGAAACCCAUGCUCGGUUCUGAUCCUUUGCCGACAAUCUCGAACCC